AAAAUGAAAAGAUAAUUAAUAGAUAUUUGCUGUCUGUAUGUCUUGAAUAGCGAGUCCAUGACCCCUUUUUCCCAGGCAUAAAUUGUAAAAGAAAAAGAAAUUGUGUGCACACGUGCAUAUUGUAUAAUGCCUAGUGGGUUGCAUUGCAAUAUACAAAAACCAACCUCACGUGGAAAGGUAACCCAAAUGGUUGUCUCUAAUGCAAUUUGUGUCAGGGGAAUAUGAAGCUGAAACCUUGGAUGCCUUCCUUCUAAUUUUAAAUUGCAGAACCCUUCUUAGUAUAUUAGUCUGUGUCCACAGAUUGACAAGUUAACCCUCAUAUUAAUCAUACACCGAUCUGUAUUGCAAGGGCAAAUUAGUCCUGUGAUUUAUGAAAGCUGCCCAGUUCAUUAACAGCCUUAAAUUUGUCAUCUUUGGGUUCCCAGGAAAAAG
rnacentral:misc_RNA from 1 species